AAAAAGCGGAGGAAAAGAAACCAACAGGGAUUGCCUCAGUAACGGCGAGUGAAGCGGCAAAAGCUCAAAUUUGAAACCCUCGGGAUUGUAAUUUGAAGAUUUGGCAUUGGAGAAAGCUAACCCAAGUUGCUUGGAAUAGUACGUCAUAGAGGGUGACAACCCCGUCUGGCUAACCGUUCUCCAUGUAUUGCCUUAUCAAAGAGUCGAGUUGUUUGGGAAUGCAGCUCAAAGUGGGUGGUAAACUCCAUCUAAAGCUAAAUACUGGUGAGAGACCGAUAGCGAACAAGUACUGUGAAGGAAAGGUGAAAAGAACUUUGAAAAGAGAGUGAAAUAGUAUGUGAAAUUGUUGAUAGGGAAGGAAAUGAGUGGAGAGUGGCCGAGGUUUCAGCCGCCCCUCGUGGGCGGUGUACUGCCGACGCCGAGUCAUCGAUAGCGAGACGAGGGUUACAAAUGGGAGCGCCUUCGGGCGUUCUCCCCUAACCCUCCACACUGCCACUGCAGUCAUCAGA
rnacentral:rRNA from 1 species